ACCACUCAUUCCAACUCCUUUUCUCUCUCACUGUGUUUUAUUUCCUUUUCCCCUCUCGACUUCUUUCUGCACCGCUCAAAAGAAACCAGAGUAAUCGGGUAACAGAAAUCGAAAGAAAACUAAUAUCAAUCUAAAACAGAAACUAAACCAAAGUUCUUAACUGAUUUAUGAUUUUUUAAACCUAAAAUCUCAUUUGAAAAACCCUAAUUUACAAAUCAAAAUCUUUGAUUUUGUAAAUUGAUUUUGCUUUUGGAUUGAAACUCUCUGAAGAAGAUUCAAUUGAGAAGUAGAAACCCUAGAAAUCUUUAUCAUCAGAAGAAGAUUGAAGUAAAAUCCUUGAAAAUUCAGAAAUAAGUAUUCUCUCAAGUAUCAUUUAGAAGUACACCUAAUAAACAAGUCAUAUGUACUUUAGUGUCUACAUGGGGAGAAAUCCACCACAUCAUCACAAGUGGUGCUGGAACAUGUAGAAGAAAAUGUGGAUGUUGAUAAUGUAUAUGUAGAAAAUUUAGAGGAGGAAAUUUCUGUUGAGGAACAUGUAGAAGAGAACAUUAGCUAUGAACAAUGUAAGUUAGGAGAUUUUGUCGAUAAUGCCUAUUGAGUAUUUGAAGGGUUAAAUAAGGAUGUAAAUGAAGGUAGUAAGCGAAAAAGGGGUACCACCGUCAACUACAAAGAAGUGGUUAUACGGGCAUUUAAGAUGUGAUGGUGUCCAUCCUAGUGCACUUGAAUAGCGGAAAAGUAUCAAGGGCUCUAGAGAGGAACAAAGGAAAAGGAGAUCAGUCAAGUUCUAGUAAUGUGGUUUCAGCUGAAUUAGAGGAGGUGUUUGGACGAAAACAAGGUUGUGGGAUUCGUGGAUACUCAUCCCAUAUGUCGAAGAAGCAAGUUGGAAUGGAAGAAAUUGCAUAUUAUGCCCUUCAACAAAGAGAUAACGAGAAUGCGCGCUAGCUAAACAAAAUCGAAGCCGAUGUGGGGUUUAUGGGCCGUAAACUGAUUGGUAUUGAAGGUGAAUUGGGGUCCUUGGGCAGCGCAGUGAAGGAGAUGUUGAACUGUAUGAAACGCAAGGAACCUACAUCAUUAGCUCGUGUAGGCACUCCCAUCCCAGAGAAGCGGUCCAAUUCUCACUUAGGUUAUCAACAUGAUCAAAGCUUGGAUCAUGCUGACAGUAUAACCAAUGGACCUCCUUCCUUGAAAGUUGAACUACUAGAUAAUCGAAGAAGGGUUGUUGCAUCAGGAUGUAUUGUUACUAGAUAUUAUGUUCAUUGUAGAAUGGUAAAGCCAACAGAGAAGAGGGUCUAUGUCAAGGAAGUUCAUGAUCAGUCUGCAUUAGUAUGGGAUGUUUUUUUGUACCUUUUCAACAGUUUUUUCCAUUUAUAUAUAUUUUUGGUCUGUUGGGUUUCUGAUAUUCAUUAUGAUGAUGCUCAAACUUGUGUUUUGAUUUUCUUGUUUGAACUGCAGUUGAGGCCAAAGAAAAAGAACAAGUAGAUGCAAUCUUGAAAUAUUGGUGGGUGCAGAGCCGGAGAAUUUGUUUUCUAGCAUAUUAAUUGGUGUAAAACUAAGCCUUUGAAGCAACCCAAGGCACAACAGAAAGUAUAUGAUGAGGGUGUCAUUAUAAGGAAAUCAAGAAAACAGUUGGAUAAGCAUAAUAAUAUUUGAGUGAACAAGUUGUAGCCUUUACAUGCACAUCAAACAUCCACCCGUUGUGUCGUUGCUUUCACAACCACCUGCCUUCCGCCUUAGAGUGAGAGGAAGAUGUGGACAGGCUACUGAUCCACAUAGUAUUUAUGAGCUAGAACGACGUUCUUUGUCAUAUGUGAACCAGAGACACAACACAUGAAUGAUCUACUUGACACUUCACACACACAGAUAUCCACAUUGGGAAAUCUGAGUUAGCUCUUUCAAGAUUUAGCAGCGUAAUUAAACAUUUUUUGAAUGUAUGAAUUGCAAUUCCAAAAAGAACGGCCUGCAAUUUGGUUGUAUUGUAGGCGUGUACACUGGAAUUCCAAGUCCAGGAUGAGGACCAGUAUUACAGGCCGGUAAAGUGGAAGCCCAGGUCCAUGAAAAAUAUAUGGGUGUUGAUGGUGGUUUUUAACUUAGGGUUAAAAUCGUAAAACCUUAGUCAAAUAAUGACGUCACACUUGAGUAAUAAUGUCGCCACUAGCACAUUU